rnacentral:rRNA from 1 species
AUUGAACGCUGGCGGCAGGCCUAACACAUGCAAGUCGAACGAGUGGCGGACGGGUGAGUAAUGUCUGGGAAACUGCCUGAUGGCGGGGGAUAACUACUGGAAAGGGUAGCUAAUACCGCAUACCAUGGGAUGUGCCCAGAUGGGAUUAGCUAGUAGGUGGGGUAAAGGCUCACCUAGGCGAAGAUCCCUAGCUGGUCUGAGAGGAUGACCAGCCACACUGGAACUGAGACACGGUCCAGACUCCGACGGGAGGCAGCAGUGGGGAAUAUUGCACAAUGGGCGCAAGCCUGAUGCAGCCAUGCCGCGUGUAUGAAGAAGGCCUUCGGGUUGUAAAGUACUUUCAGCGGGGAGGCGUUACCCGCAGAAGAAGCACCGGCUAACUCCGUGCCAGCAGCCGCGGUAAUAC